rnacentral:rRNA from 1 species
UACAGAGGGGGCCAGCGUUAUUCGGAAUUAUUGGGCGUAAAGGGCGCGUAGGCGGCUUUGCAAGUGACGGGUGAAAGCCCUCGGCUUAACCGAGGAACUGCCUGUCAGACUGUAAGGCUUGAGACCGGGAGAGGUGAGUGGAAUUCCCAGUGUAGCGGUGAAAUGCGUAGAUAUUGGGAGGAACACCAGUGGCGAAGGCGGCUCACUGGACCGGAACUGACGCUGAGGCGCGAAAGCGUGGGGAGCAAACAGG